rnacentral:rRNA from 1 species
AACGGCGGAGUGAAGAGGGAAGAGCCCAAGAUUGAAAGCUGGCGUCUUCGGCGUCCGCAUUGUAAUCUCAAGAAGUGUUUUCCGCUUCGGACCAUGCCUAAGUCCCUUGGAAAAGGGCAUCAUAGAGGGUGAUAAUCCCGUACAUGGCAUGGAGCGCCCGAAGCUUUGUGAUACGCUUUCUAAGAGUCGAGUUGUUUGGGAAUGCAGCUCAAAAUGGGUGGUAAAUGCCAUCUAAGGCUAAAUAUUGGGGAGAGACCGAUAGCGAACAAGUACAGUGAUGGAAAGAUGAAAAGAACUUUGAAAAGAGAGUUAAACAGUACGUGAAAUUGCCAAAAGGGAAGGGUAGGAGGUCAGAGAUGCGUCUUGGGAUUCAGCCUUGCUUGUUGCAUGGUGUUUUUCCCAAGUUGCAGGCCAACGUCGGUUUUGGGCACUGGAGAAGGGUGGAAGGAACGUGGCACCUCUCGGGGUGUGUUAUAGCCUUCUACUGGAUACAGCGACCGAGACCGAGGACAGCAGCGUACUCGCAAGAGCGGGCCUUCGGGCACCUUUACGCUUAGGGCGUUGGCAUAAUGGCCCUCUACCACCCGUCUUGAAAACACG